CCUAUCCCCGGCCUAUCCCCGGCCUGUCCCCGGCCUCCGGGGCACGGGAACCUCCAGAGCAGGGCUCCCCUGCCACGGGAACACGGAGCUCGGGAACGAGCGCGAAUGGGGGCACCCCGGCAGGGAAACAUCAGGUUUUGUCAGGACAGCCUGCAGCGAGCAGGGUUUGACAGAGGCCUGAGGAGACCCGGACAUUUGCUGCUGAAGAAGUUUUCCAAAACUGCACCAGCAGGGAGCAGCUCGGGACCCCCGCGGGUGCCAGGACCUGCGGCCAGGAUGGUGCUUAUCUUUGCUCAGCUCUCAGCACUUUCCCUGCCGCUUUCAUCUGUCGUCACUACCUUCAAAUCUUUGAAUGCCUGCAGAGCCAUUGCAAAACAUCUUCAGUGCCAGCCUGGUGCUCUCAGGCUGUGUCAGGAGUUCUGUGAGGGUGACUGUGAGAUGAGGUGCUUGCAGCAGAUCUUGGGAAUUGCAGGAGAAAUUCUCAUCUUGCAAGCAACAAAAAUGCAAAGUAAAAUCAUAAAACCAUUAAGAUUGGAAAAGACUUCUAAGGUCACCGAGUCCAGCUGUUAACCCAGCACCAUUGAAUCAUGUCCCAAAAUGCCACAUCCACGUGCCUUUUGAACACUUCCAGGGAGGGUGAUUUCACCACUUUCCUGGGCCGACUGUUCAAUACUUGACCACCCUUUCAGUGAAGAAAUUGUCCCUAGUAUCCAAUUUAAACCUUCACUGACACAACACAAGGCCAUUUUCUCUUAUCCUGUCACUUCUGCUUGAAAGAAGAAACCAACCCCCACCUGGUUACAACCUCCCUUCAGGUUGUUUGCAGAGAGCAAGAAGGUCCUCCAGAAGCCACUUUCUCUCCAGGCUAAAGUUAGAGGUUUUUACCCCUAACUGUCUGUUUCUUCUGAUGUUUUUCUUCCAAGGCUUCUGUUAGAAAGGCAGUCCUUGGGACCCGUGGCAAUCUCUGCUGGAGCUGAGGAAGGAAAUAGUUCCCUUCAUGAUUUACUCUCAUCUCACCCAUAUGUAGACAUACAUGUGUAAAUCAACAGCAAGGUCUAAUUUCUCAACAGUGUCAAACAACAUCACAAGAUGAACUGAAACACCAAGAGUGCUUUUAAAAAGGGAGUCAGAGAUCCCAAAUGUGUCAUUCUUCAAAUGCAACAAAACUUUGGGCAGCUCCUGAGUCUGGCACCUGGCCGUGAGUGCUAAGGCUCGUUAUCCCCGCUGGAGGAGCAAGGCAGGGGAAGGUCCUUGAGUAAGAAUUGUGGAGAAGGAGAGUAGCAAAGCUUACAGUCAUGGCUCAGGAAUCAAGCCCACUGCAUACAGGCACAUGCAGCUGCCAUCUGAGUGUUUGUACAACUGUUGCCAGAGUUCCCCCAGCAUAAAGAAGGCCUCAUCUCUUAGAUGGAGCAAGUAAUCCUCUGUCAUGCGUAAGCACUUACGAGAACAAGCCAAGCUGCUCAGCACAUGGGAGAUGAGAGAUGGAGAACAGGUUCUGUAACAAGGGCCCCUGUUCAAAGCGAGUCAAGAGAGGUCUCGGCAGCUAACUCACCAGCAGAGGGAUUCGCUUUUGAGAGAAGGAAAAUCUGAGAACAUACUCAUUUCUUCUAUGGAUCCAGAAAACCACAGAAACAACUAGAGCCCAAGCCCUUGCUGUUCCCAGCAGAUGUGGCACUGGUUUUACACAAACCCUGUAUGAAGUCGGAUUUCUGCUUUGGAGCCGAGUAGUUCCCCAUGCCAACACAAGCCUUGAGCUCUGAGUCUGCCCUUCAGGAGCUUUUCUCCAUUAUGAGAAUCUGCAAGUGGGGAAAUAAACCCCACAGUAACAGAUGCUUUAGAGACUUCCAUUACUUCAGCCCACUGCUGUGCAUAUAUCUGGUAAGCAAGGAGCUGCCGCCUUGGGAUGCUACUGCUAACAAGUUAACUAGGAAAAGCUGUUACUCUAGUUUCAUUGAACUGAGCAGAGUAAUAGCUGAUACACAGAAGUCUUUCUAUCCUCCCUCAGAUGUGGAUGGCUGCUUAUAUCAUAUUUGCGGUCUAAACUGUGAAAGACAUUAUCAUUUCUCACUUUUUUUCUCCUCAUUUCAGCACAUCUUCACCUUCUUUUUGCAUGUCACCUACAUCCAUGAAAGCAUCAGGAAUAUAUAUUUUAACAAUAUUCAAAACUCUCUUUCCUCAUUCUUCUUUUUACGUGUCCUCAAAAAGCUGAUCUGAAAUCCAUAUAUAUCAAUUGUCCUUAGCACUGCAUGCAGUUGGCAGAAUGACCUCAAAAAGUGGUGAGAGAAGGAAUUCACAUGUUCUGCAAGCAUUCAGCCUAGCAACCAUCAUGGCCCAAGUAAUCUUCUCUUUCUUCCUCUGACCUUCUUCACUUCUGUCCAGUUUAUGUAUCCUCAUCUCUUCUGUUUAAGGGGGGUUCAACCAUCUGCUUGGCUGUGCUUAGAAACCUUCCUGUAGAAAUUCUAAAGAAAAUAAACUGUUGGCCAGAAAUUAUAUUAUUUUUGUGGAUCAACGUCUUGAGUACCAAAUCAAACUAUUAUCUGAGAUGAUCUGUUCAUAUCUGGUUCCCCAGAAAUCAGUAAAGACCCAACAAAUAAUUCUUCUUAAAAUACAGUGGUUCUGUUCUUAAGGUGAUCUUAAGGUAUUCCUAAGGUAACAGACACUUCUGUCUGUUAGCACAGAAGUGACUUAAUGAAGUCCUUUAAUCUGAAAAAUUAUUAUACUCUGCCUUCAGAGAACCCCAAGUAUAUGACAAUCCCAGUGUUUAUCAUGGAAUACAGUGGUGCCAGAGCUACCCUGAAGAGAUGACCCCAGCCUCCCAUAUGCCCCAAGGCAAGAUUAAUGAAAAACAAGAGUUGGACAGAGUUCUUAAAAAAACUGGAAGCUUCCAGACAAGGUAGGUACAACUGGUACACAUAAUCCAUUUCAGGAAUUAACAGCAGUUGAAUACUGCAACCUUGAAGUAGUUCCCAGACAAACUGUGCUUGUACCAGGUGCCAUGCAGAGAGAAGGGGCAGGUGAACUGUGACUACAGUGGCCGUUAGCACUGAAGACUAAAAAUUCUCAAAUUUUCAGCUGCAUUGUGAAGGUAUUUUUGAUUUAUCAAUAUAAGUGAUAAGCAGCUGUUCUUCAAAUCCAAAACAUACACAAUAGCUUCAUUAUAAUGUUACAGUACAAUAUAUAAUGUCUCAAAAUAUUAUUCAAAUGUAUGUGCUCCUUAGAGAUACACACACAGAUGCUUUAAAUCUCUGAAUGUAAAGACAAAAUAACUGAAAGAAAUAAGAUAGAGCCUAAUAUAUUUGAAGUCAUUUUGAAAGAGAUACUCAGAAGUUGUAGGAACAGUGGUCAUGGAACUUAAAGCUGUUACUUAUUACUUUCUAGUUAUAUUGAUAUCACAUUAAUAAAACUGGUUUUAAGGGAGAAGAAUAUGAUUUUCAAAUCAGGGUCAAAAAAAAAAAGGAAAAUUGCUUUAAAAUCUCAAUGCAAUCCCCUUCUCACUCGUGUCUUUUGGGAAUAACCUGCAGUAGGAGAUAUGGAGGCUCAGCACUGCUCAGUGCACACAACCCCAGCAUUAGGGGAGGAAAAGCCCCUGCAAGUCACAAAUGAGACCCUUGCCAAAUCCUCUGCAUGAGGAGGCUGAACAAGCUCCUUGCUCACCUGUUAGUGUUUGACAGGUACAAGGAUAAUGGGGGAGCCAAUCACAUAUAUUUGGGCUGGAAAUGGCAUGCAGAGCUUUAAUCUUUAAUGCAUUUACAUUUUAUCUUUUUACCCUUAUCUCUUCAAGAACUGUUAGAGAAUCUUAUCUCCUGUUGUGUUAUAGAGGGAAGCUUUCCUGAAUUAUCAUAAUUGUGCAUUUGACAAAAUGCCUGACUGGCCACUAACCACUCUGUAGUACAUGCUACACAAAAGCUUCAAUAACAUUCUUCCCUUCCUAGAAAGCUUUCAACACAAAGAUCAAAUCCUAAAGAUAGCUCAGGCUUAGUUACAGUCCUGAGACCCAGGAACCUGGAAAUCUGCUUUACUCCCUGAGCUAUAUUUUAAGCACCUGCAUACAUGUGAGCACAGUUAUAUACAGACUGUACUCAACAGUUAUAUCACUGAAGGAGUGAUUAUAAUCCAUUAAUACACGUGCUCUGUGUGAUUUAGAUUGUGGCCUGGUCAGUGCAUCCACACAUCUGCUCACUCUGUGCACCCUGAAUGCCCUGUUGUUCAGUGAAAACAGCAGCAUUCUGGCUGUAAUUAGAAUUUAGCAUCAUCCUAAGGGAAGUCUUUCAUGCAAGUGAAGCACUGGGGACAGUGGAAAGGCAAAGAGAAGACAUUUCAACUCAGGACACUGCAUUGUCAUAGACCCCUUUAGCACACAGGGCUGCUCCUUAGUGCUAAGGAGCAACAGCUCAGCUCCUCACACUGCCAUAGCUGACUUUAUCAACAGCAUGUGCCAAGAGCCACUCUAGCAGAGUUACCACACCAACAGCUAGGAUCUAUGGAAGAUCCCCUCAAUCCCCUUUGCCUCAAGUUUCAAAUGUCUUACAGGGGUUAUUACAUAGCAACCUUCCUGAAGGUUGUGCAUUAGCCCUUUUCUAACACCUGCUCACCCAUGGCUAUUAACUUGAGUUUUUUCCUGUAAGUAUAAACACAAGAACAUUUUACUUCUUAUGAUACCAAUUUUAAGAGCCAGAAGAUUACUGAGCUGUGAUCUGGUGCAGAGCAGAAGAUAUGGAAGCAUUGAAAAGCAGCAUUUCCCAUAUUUAAUUUAAUUUCUGAUAUUUCACUGGGCUGAUAGAGCAGAGUUCAGAGAAUAAGCUCUCAUAGUACCAUCUAUUGUAUACAUUUACUGAGUGUGCAGUUUUUUCCUUGUCUGCACAUUCAGGCUGACAUAUGGGAUUCAAUCCUCAGUUUAGACAUACAACUGUGACCCAAUCACUGCAAUCCAGCAAAGGAGACUUCUGUGCAGGACUGAACAGACUUAUCUUGUCAGAACUCACCCUACAGACAUUUGCUAGUGUUACAAAACUCUUAAGUAGUAAAUUACAGGAUGAAAUUUGGAGUCUGAUCCUUAGUUCUUCAGGUCAUGAAGUAUAAUUUCAAAUGUGGAAAAAAUAAGACCUUUUGUUGUCUAAUAUAGUACUACCUCUCACUGGCAUUUGGAUAUAAUCCGUAAUAAACAUUCAGUUGCACCACCAAAAACUUUUGGCAAGCUCUUAGUAAGAGUCACCUCAAUGUAACAAAAGCAACAAACAUUUCAGUCUUGUAGACAGGAUGAAGAUCCUUAUUAGCUACUAUUUCACUGCUUUAUUUCUUUUCCUGACCCUUUCACUGGCAUGACUACUUUAGGUAGAAAAUAAAAUUCUUAAUCAGUAAAAACAAUCUGAUGCAUGAAAAUGAUAGACAUUUGCUUUAUUAAAUUACUUUUAUACUUCCACAAAGAAAUUUUCUGAUUUCCAUUACAGAAUUGAAUGAAGGAAAUUCAUUGCUGUCUCUGCAGUUACCUAAAUUUAGAUACAAAAAGGUUGUAAAAAGACUGCCCUAUUCAAGUUACAUAAAACAGGCAGAGAAUAGAUAAGUUCCCUUAGGAAUCUUGAGGCUCAGAAAUAUAAAGUCCGAUUAUACAAUGAAAUUAAGAAUUCAGCAAUGUGUUGAACAAUUGUAAACUGUAACUGCACUAGUGGACCACAUUAUUCAGCAGUUUCCUUAAAGGUAUAAACUGUGAACUGAACAAAAAGUGUAGCUGACAUGGCAGACCUCAUUUAGUUGUUCUCCCUUUCACUCCCUCUAGGUCAAAGUUGUGAGAUCAGCAGUUAAAUGAUAGGAAGGAAACUUGCCUCCAUAAAUAUCAGAAAUUUCUCCAUUCCAUAGCUAUUUAUAUAAAGUAACUAGCUGUUACAAAUCAGUUUCAAGUAAAACAGGUGGCUGAGGCAAAAAUAAUCAAAAUCAGAUCAUACACAAUUUUACUGUAAAUACAGUAAUUUGAAAGAUAAACACAUAACCAUAGCACUGACAGGAUAUCAAUGCUGCUGUAUUAUAGACAUGAUGUGUCAGUAGAAAAUUAGGAUGUCUGUUAUCAAAAUUGAGGACAUUCAUUCCAGUCUCUGGUAAUCUAAUCUUAGUGCAAAACAGAUGCUAAGACUUAU